UACGUAGGUGACAAGCGUUGUCCGGAUUUACUGGGCGUAAAGAGCGCGCAGGCGGUCGAUCAAGUCGAGUGUGAAAGCCCCCGGCUCAACUGGGGAGGGUCAUUCGAUACUGAUCGACUCGAAGGCAGGAGAGGGUAGUGGAAUUCCCGGUGUAGUGGUGAAAUGCGUAGAUAUCGGGAGGAACACCAGUGGCGAAGGCGGGUCUCUGGACAACACCUGACGCUGAGGCACGAAAGCCAGGGGAGCAAACGGG
rnacentral:rRNA from 1 species